GCAAUAGAAUGGCUUAUAUGGGCGGUCGGCUACCUCUCGAAGAAGGGAGGGAUGCCUAUAUGACAGUAUAUGAAGCACUCAUGUUAAUGCUUACUUUCGGCAUAUUAAUUGUUGCCAUGCUGUCAUUUAGAAACGACAAAUAGACCGCCCUCGAACAAGGAUAACGGUCAAUUUGUCGUCUAUACUUCGUUUCGUUUAGCCACCGCCCUUAAAAGCGGCUAUUGCCCUAGGAGUCAUGUUCCCGCAUGGCUC
rnacentral:sRNA from 1 species